GCCUCUGUAUCACUUUGAGCUGCUGGAUUUUCAAGCUUGGGGAUCUUCGAGGACACCAUUGAGAAUGCUGUUGUUCACUGUCACUAACAAGGAUCAGGAAGUUGGAGUUUUACCUGAGCAUCCUUCUCUUCUCCAUCACUGACCCAGCUCCUGAACAAUAUUUUUUGGUGAAGUAAUGAAUGACUCAGUGUUCAGGACUUCAAAAUACAGUGGGUCAACAAUCCUAUUUCCAGGUGACCCUGUUGUUCACAAUAGCUAAAUCUAAAUGGUAUUCACGCCACCGGAAAGACUUUAGUCACCCUUGAGCCUGCCAUGCCCAGCAGCUUCUUGGCCACGUGGAGUUACAACACAUGCUGAUGGACUCGAAGGUCCCCUCUUUAUACCCUCCGAGGGGUCCAGCAUGCCAUCCAUCUCGAAGAGUCCACUUUUUUGGCUCCCAUGUAACGUUUCAGGGACAUAAAUCAUUUGGGGACAUACCUGUGUGUCCUGGGCCCCUGGUGACGUGCAGGGUGGAGACGGAGCAGGGUGGUGGGGCCGCCGUCUCCAACCUUCUCUCCUGAGCUGGCCCCUGUGUAUGCCUGGACUUCUUCGGGGCCAGCUGCCUCUCGGUGUAGGCUCGUGACUCGGCCCCACAGAGGGUCUCAAGGCCUUUCCACUCUUAUAUCACUCAGCCUACCUGGGAAUGCUCCUGCCCCUGUCACUGUGCGCUCUCUCUCUUCUCUAGGA